CUUUGAACUUCCCAAGAUUCCUGGACAUAGGAGGAUUGGUUGAGCAAGAUUUUAGGUUGAUGUUUGGGGAAGCCAUCUCUGCAAAGUUCCUGGAGAAGUGGCCCACUGUCUACCAGCAGAAAGUCCUCAAACUAAGCUGUGGUCUCACACAGUCUGAUGACCUUGAGAACCUUCUUCACAAUGCUGAAGGCACAACAGAAAUGGAAAAUGUGCCCCUCCUGCCACCGUCACCUCAUAAGCGUAAGAGACCAGGAAAACUCUCAUCCAGACCAUCCAGUGAAGGUUGUCAAGGAUGUCAAGGAUUUCUCUGUGGAUGCUGGUUCCACAGACAGGAACCAGCAUCCAGGAGCACCUUGAUGGCAUCACAGAAAGCCGUCAACCAUACCUGCUUGGAGUAGGAACUCAGAGGAGCGUGAUUCACAGGUACUUCAUUGUGAUUGACAAACAUACCAUACCUUGUAAAUCACAAGGCUCUCUUGCCUGUUUUGAUGAGCUUUUUAAAGCUCACUUUGUGUUCGGCACUUCAUAUGAUCAUGACCUGGUCAAUGUGUACAAUUUUAUGCAGAACGCCAUUCAUGAGAUAGACGUUGAGACAACCAAAGUUGUCAAGAUGGUUUUUGUGAAAUGCUAGUUUUCCGUAAGAUCUACAAUGUUGUUGUGAAAGAUGAGAGGUUUCUGUUUGUUACAUUUGCUCUGCAGUGUGUCUGAAUGAGCAUUUCAGUGCUUUUCAAGUUUUGUGUACAAGAGAUGGACUUCAUGUUAUUUAUGUAGAAGAGCUUUACUGUUCCAGAGUGUGGAGCGAGAAAAUGAACAAAGUCCAAACCUUGUUAAAGAGAGAACAAAAUACAGCUUUAUUACAUCUGCGCAGAU